rnacentral:lncRNA from 1 species
CGGCAACAAAAGCCUUAAUUGGCAAUCAAUGUGUGUAAAGCCAUUUAGGAAAGAAUGAGUGGGCUGCACGUGGCCACAGGCUGCUCCUACAGUGGGAUCACAGGGAACUUGCUCGAGAAUCUGAUGUUAGAGGAUGUUUUACAGCUCCUGUUCUCCCUGCUGGAAGGACAGCUACCUUUUCACAGAAUAGAUCCCUGCUCAGGAACCCACUGUGGGCCAAUCAACAGCUUCCCAAAACGAGUCAGGGAGUUCCAGAAGCUCCCAUUCCGGUGCCAGCUGAGAAUCCAUUUGGAUAAUAACGGAGUAAAAACUCUGGUUUGGAGAAAGUUUCUGUAAUGUUUUUCUUUUUCCUUUUUGGUGGAAGGGAGAAUAAAGGAGGAUAUUGCCUGGUAAGCAUGCAAAGAAAAAAAGUCACGCCAAUUUCACUAGAAUUGCCCAGAACCUCAACUCUGGUGAACUGCAGGUGACAACACUUCACACUGUUUACAUGAUUGGGGCUUCCCUGGAAACUGCGCUGACCCUGAGAUGAUUGAACAUUUAGAGUAAAACCCUUGAUGUAGUUCAUAAAAUUGGAUUCAAAUGAAAAGUUUAAUGUGGAGUCAUUCAAAAAUAACACUAAGAGCUCUUCCCUGAAUUCAAAAGAAAAAGGAAGGAAAACAUGUUAGUCUUAGCAGGAGCCAAGGCUGCAGGUGGGGGAAGAUGGAGAGGACAGUGUUUGGGUUUUAUUAUGUUUACUUUUCUCUUACGGAAGAAUAGAAGAUGGAUGACUUGAUGCCUGAGGUAAUUCAGUAUGUUUCACCAAUUUGGAGAUGGUCAUUUGUCCAUACUUAAGUCUCAGUAAUUAUGUUGAAAUAUUAUAAUUUCUGUAAGCUGGGAAGGUUACAAUGUGGUGGUUGUCAUUGCCCGGGCAUGCACAAACUUGGUCGUGAUUCCUGGUGGCAUGAUUAGACAGACAACUGCAACCCCUUGACACUUAAUUCCAGAAAUCAUUUAAGAAUCACUUGAAAAAGGAAUAUAUUAUUGUUCUCCUUCCAAUAACCAAGUGUCUUCUGAAAACCUUUCAUUGUCACUUUCUGGUAAUUGAACAAUGAGAACACAUGGACACAGGAAGGGGAACAUCACACACUGGGAAC